rnacentral:lncRNA from 1 species
AAUAGAUGAGGAAAUGGAGGCGUAAAUUAAAGAACUGGAAGAGCUAGGAUUCAUAUUCAUGCAGGGUGAUUCCAGAGCCACAACGUUCUACAACCCUGCCUGCCAACAGCAAGACAUGAUCCCAGACCUCAAGGACAUCACAGUCUAUUGGUUGGACAUUAUCUAGUCAUAUAAUUGAGUAAUUGGACAUCUAAAUAUAAGUGAAUCAUACUGUGAAACACCAAGGCAUAAAACCUCAUCAGACAUUUGCUGAAGCCUCAUCUUAAUCAAAUCAGACCUGUGUUGGUCAGUCUACGAAAUGCUCUGUUCCUGAAAUACGCACCACCUCCUCAGAAAAGCUGACUUUGGCUGUUCCUUCUUCAGGAAUUGGCAGGGUCUGGAUGACAUGAACUUCCACCCUGGCCACAAAGAACAAGACCAGGAAGGAUACCUGUAUUCAUUUCCUAGGUUUGCCAUAACAAAGUACCACAAAGUUGGUGGCUGAGAACAACAGAAAUAUGUUGUUCCACAGUUGUGGAGGCUAGAAGUCCAAAAUUAAGGUGUUGGCAAGGCCUUGCUCCCUUAUAAAUCUGUAGAGCGAGGAUCCCUUCUUCCAGCUUCUGGUAGCCCCAGAUGUUCAUUGGUUUAUGGAAGCAUAAUUCAGUCUCUGCCUCUAUCCUUACAGGGCAUUCUCCCUGUGUAUCUUCCUAUUGUCUUCCCUCUAUGUAUGUCUGUCUCUGUAACCAAAUUUUUCAUGUUUGUAAAGGCAUUACCCAUAUUGGAUUAGAGCCCACACUUACAACCUCAUUUUAACUUGAUUACCUUUGUUAAGACACUAUUUCCAAAUCUGGUCACAUUCUGAGGCACAGGGGCAUUAGAAUUUCAACACAUCUCUUUUGGGCAGACACAGUUCAACCCCUAACAAUACUCUAGCCAAAUGUGAACUGAGAAACUCCACAGCCUCAGAGCUGUCCUGGCCCAAGAACUCUGCCCAAUAAGAGUGUGCCAUAUUGACUGGUAACUGAUCCACCCCAUUAGAUUCUGCCUUGAGAGUUUUGGAUUCUAGCUGGAGUUUAACAGACAAGUCCAUGGGGGUGGUGAUGUCACUGGAGCUACUUCUGAUAGACUUUGAAGACACCCCCGUCACUAAAAUGUCUCCAAAGCCUGAAAAGAAGAGUCAAGUACAGGUUCUCUACCAGGCCAAGGCAGCUGCUGAGGCCCCUUCCUGGGAUUCCUUGCUUGUUUUUACUAAAUAUAUCAAUUAAACAAACUAGAC